GAUGAACGCUGGCGGCGUGCCUAAUACAUGCAAGUCGAGCGAACGGACGAGAAGCUUGCUUCUCUGAUGUUAGCGGCGGACGGGUGAGUAACACGUGGAUAACCUACCUAUAAGACUGGGAUAACUUCGGGAAACCGUAGCUAAUACCGGAUAAUAUUUUGAACCGCAUGGUUCAAAAGUGAAAGACGGUCUUGCUGUCCCUUAUAGAUGGAUCCGCGCUUCAUUAGCUAGUUGGUAAGGUAACGGCUUACCAAGGCAACGAUGCAUAGCCGACCUGAAAGGUUGAUCGCCCAAACGGAACUGAGACACGGUCCAGACUCCUACGGGAGGCAGCAGUAGGGAAUCUUCCGAAAUGGGCGAAAGCCUGACGGAGCAACGCCGCGUGAUUGAUGAAGGUCUUCGGAUCGUAAAACUCUGUUAUUAGGGAAGAACAUAUGUGUAAGUAACUGUGCACAUCUUGACGGUUCCUAAUCAGAAAGCCACGGCUAACUACGUG
rnacentral:rRNA from 1 species